CCUGCCAGCCGCCUGUCCCUCCAGCAGCCAAAUCAGAUGAGGAGGAGGCGUGGGAGUCAGGCUCAGCAUCAAGUCAACCUGAGAACUCUGAGGGAGAAAAGGGAAUGGAGCUGUCAGAGAGAGAGAGAGAGAGAGAGAGAGAGAGAGAGAG